UAGAGAUACAUAUAAAAUUGAGAAAAGAUAUGCCAAAUACAUUUUCAAAAUGGGGAGUCCUAGGGUAUCACCAUACUCGUUACUCCCUGAGGUAUUUCAAACUGUGUAUAGGAAACAUUUCACACGCUGGUUUUUGCCAAGCACUUGACUGUUGAGUGGCUGUUGUUGUUGUGGUACGUAGUCCUACUUGUUGUUGUAGCUACUUCUGUUGUUGUUGGAGUUGUUGAAAAUGUUGGGGUUCGUUGCCGUUGUCGUCGGUGUUGAUGCUGUUGUUCUUGUCCCUGGUGUUGUUGUUAUUGCCAUCUGUGUGUAGUAGUGUAGCCCCCAUUCGGUAUUGCUCUGUUGCCAGUCACUCGCGUGUGUUGUGUUAUCAACUUCUGUUCAGUUGCUAGCUGGCUGCACGGUGCGACGCUUGCACGUCGUCUGUCUGCCAGAAGUCUGCUGCCCGGGCUAUAAUAUCGGGUAUGGAGGGAGGGGUGGCUAUGCCCACUGUUCCUCUCACCGGGGUAAUCGGAUUGAGUUCAUUUUCAUUUAAAUGGAAUUAAAUAUGGUAAAUUAUGAAAUCAAGGCGGCCGAGAGAGACAGCAGCUGUCGUGUGUGUGAGAUGUUUUUGUGUGUGGUGAAGGUGAGUGCGACGACCGACCGACAGCCGACAAGCGACCGAUGCGAAGAAUUCCAUUUCCAGACCGUCUGAAAUUUUUGCACUCUUUUGAAGAGGCACAUUUGUAAUCCAUAUAAUAAAUAAAUAAUUUUUCAAGGGGCA